CCUACGGGAGGCAGCAGUGGGGAAUCUUGCGCAAUGGGCGAAAGCCUGACGCAGCAACGCCGCGUGCGGGAAGAAGGCUUUCGGGCUGUAAACCGCUUUCAGCAGGAACGAAAAUGACGGUACCUGCAGAAGAAGGAGCGGCCAACUAUGUGCCAGCAGCCGCGGUGAUACAUAGGCUCCAAGCGUUGUCCGGAUUUAUUGGGCGUAAAGAGUUCGUAGGCGGUCGAGUAAGUCGGGUGUGAAAAUUCUGGGCUCAACCCAGAGACGCCACCCGAUACUGCUUGACUUGAGUUCGAUAGGGGAGUGGGGAAUUCCUAGUGUAGCGGUGAAAUGCGCAGAUAUUAGGAGGAACACCGGUGGCGAAGGCGCCACUCUGGAUCGAUACUGACGCUGAGGAACGAAAGCAUGGGUAGCAAACAGGAUUAGAUACCCUGGUAGUCCAUGCCGUAAACGGUGGGCACUAGGUGUGGGUUUCUAUUAACGAAAUCCGCGCCGUCGCUAACGCAUUAAGUGCCCCGCCUGGGGAUACGGUCGCAAGACUAAAACUUAAGGAAUUGACGG
rnacentral:rRNA from 1 species